CUUGUUGUGACCUUGAACUUGAAGAUGCAGAGAUGCUGAAUGAAAACUUGUCAGUACGACAGUAGCCUGUUGUUGAAAUGAUUUCAAUUUAUAUAUAUGAUUGACAUAUCCAUAGGACAUGCAGUUAGCCUAGACAAAUAGGAAGAGAAAGGUCUCUGAUUUAAUUCUCUGUGAAGUUCAAGGUCUUUCUUAGUCUAAAUAUGGGAAGAUUUGAAAGGAUACAUAGAAAUCUUGGAGGAAAAAUUGACUUGAGUCUUAAAAGACACAGAUAUGAAGAUAAACAAGAGGAAAAGAAUGCCAAACAUAGUUUAAAGGACUGCAUACUUCCUGAUAUCUUUCAAAUUAUUGUGUCUUUUUGGUAUAAAUGUAAUAAUGCAAUAUCAUCUUAUUUGUAUAGGCAUGUAUACAUCCUGCAAAUCUUGUUGGUACCUUUUAGCUCCUUUUAAUGCAACCACUAUUUAUAAAACAUUGUCCUGAUUGUAUUUCUAUAUGUGAGUUUAUUAGUUAACUAGCGCUUGCCGCGUAGUAAUUGCAUAUAUAUGCAUUAUUAAAUA